CGUAGGGUGCAAGCGUUAUCCGGAAUUAUUGGGCGUAAAGAGCUCGUAGGCGGUUUGUCGCGUCUGCUGUGAAAACCCGAGGCUCAACCUCGGGCCUGCAGUGGGUACGGGCAGACUAGAGUGCGGUAGGGGAGAUUGGAAUUCCUGGUGUAGCGGUGGAAUGCGCAGAUAUCAGGAGGAACACCGAUGGCGAAGGCAGAUCUCUGGGCCGUAACUGACGCUGAGGAGCGAAAGGGUGGGGAGCAAACAGGCUUAGAUACCCUGGUAGUCCACCCCGUAAACGUUGGGAACUAGUUGUGGGGUCCAUUCCACGGAUUCCGUGACGCAGCUAACGCAUUAAGUUCCCCGCCUGGGGAGUACGGCCGCAAGGCUA
rnacentral:rRNA from 1 species